GACGAACGCUGGCGGCGUGCCUAAUACAUGCCAGUUGAGCGAUGAAGAUUGGUGCUUGCACCAAUUUGAAGAGCAGCGAACGGGUGAGUAACGCGUGGGGAAUCUGCCUUUGAGCGGGGGACAACAUUUGGAAACGAAUGCUAAUACCGCAUAACAACUUUAAACAUAAGUUUUAAGUUUGAAAGAUGCAAUUGCAUCACUCAAAGAUGAUCCCGCGUUGUAUUAGCUAGUUGGUGAGGUAAAGGCUCACCAAGGCGAUGAUACAUAGCCGACCUGAGAGGGUGAUCGGCCACAUUGGGACUGAGACACGGCCCAAACUCCUACGGGAGGCAGCAGUAGGGAAUCUUCGGCAAUGGACGAAAGUCUGGCCGAGCAACGCCGCGGGAGUGAAGAAGGGUUUCGGAUCGUAAAACUCUGUUGGUAGAGAAGAACGUUGGUGAGAGUGGAAAGCUCAUCAAGUGACGGUAACUACCCAGAAAGGGACGGCUAACUACGUG
rnacentral:rRNA from 1 species